GACGGAGGAUGCAAGCGUUAUCCGGAAUGAUUGGGCGUAAAGCGUCCGCAGGUGGCAGUUCAAGUCUGCUGUCAAAGACCGGGGCUUAACUUCGGAAAGGCAGUGGAAACUGAACAGCUAGAGUAUGGUAGGGGCAGAGGGAAUUUCUGGUGUAGCGGUGAAAUGCGUAGAUAUCGGGAGGAACACCUGUGGCGAAAGCGGCGCACUGGACCACUUCUGACGCUGAGGCGCGAAAGCUAGGGGAGCAAACAGG
rnacentral:rRNA from 1 species